CACCCUGCGGAGAUGCGAAAGGGAGAAGGCGGCCGCCGGUGCAACGCUGCGCUGUGAAAACAUUUUUCCUGGUGUGCAUUGAGAUAAGAAGUGCUCUCUGCACGUGCCCGUAAUAGUUAUUUUAACAGGACUGUCCCAUUUCUGGAGGAAAUGGGGGUGUGGCAGGCUGGGAGUGUUGCAAGCGUGGAUUUAUAUACGGUACUUCCCUGUUUUUGUAUGUAAUUUGUCGUUGUAAUGGUUAAUGUGUGUUUAUAAUUGCAUUUUCUAUCGCUGUAACCCGCCCUGGGCAAUGCCCUCUUUCCCCGAGAAUGAGAUCCCAAGGGUUAGAUCAGCUGAGCUGCAUUUUUACAGAGAGGCCUGGACAUCUGGGAAGAAAGCUACCCAUCGCCUUUUCCUGCAGUGACCACAAACCUUUCUGAUACCAAGCUGCCUCCCUCAGACACUGAGCAGGAGCAGAACUUGAAAGUAGGAGAAAGAUGAGGACAUGGUCUCACUCGCAGGUAAUGGAAAGCUGAGUGAGAAGAAGAACGAGGACCAGCUCAGCCUGGAAGAAUCUGAGGCAGACGGACCACCCCUUGGAGGAGACAACUGGGACAUCUAUGAGAUGGUAGAAACAUCUGGAAGUCGCCACGACUCAGAUGGGCAUGGAAAACAGAAGGACAUACCUGUUCCUCCUUAUGACCAGGGAGACAAGCCCAACGACUGCAUAAAGUGCAGGAAAAGCUUUAGCUGGAAGUCCCACCUUCAGCCAGAGCUUAGCCCCCAUGACGCAUGAGAGGCCCCACACUGGCAAGAAACCAUUCACCUGCCUGGACUGCAGGAAGAACUUCCACCGGAGGUCGGGUCUUUUGGUGCAUGAGAGGGUGCACACGGGAGAGAAGCCGUACACAUGCACAGAGUGUGGGAAGAGUUUGAGCCAGAGCUCGAGUCUUUUGGCCCAUGAGGGGACCCAUACGAGAGAGAAGUCAUAUCUGUGCACCAAGUGCGGGGGAAACUGUGAAUGCACGCAUUUGUGUUUUACCGCAAUGCCAAGGAGGAAAGACCUCAGCAAUGCUCUUCGAGAAGCAAUUGUUGCUGCCCACGAAACUGGGAAGGGUUAUAAGGCCAUCUCCAAACAAUUUAAAGUCCAUCAUUCUACAAUCAGAAAGAUUAUUCAGAAGUGGAAAACAUUCCAGACAGUUGCCAACCUUCCCAGGAGUGGAUGUCCCAGCAAAUUCACCCCAAGGUCAGACCGUGCUAUGCUCAGAGAAA